AUUGAACGCUGGCGGCAUGCCUUACACAUGCAAGUCGAACGGCAGCACGGGAGCAAUCCUGGUGGCGAGUGGCGAACGGGUGAGUAAUAUAUCGGAACGUGCCCAGUAGUGGGGGAUAACUGCUCGAAAGAGCAGCUAAUACCGCAUACGACCUGAGGGUGAAAGGGGGGGAUCGCAAGACCUCUCGCUAUUGGAGCGGCCGAUAUCAGAUUAGCUAGUUGGGGGGGUAAAGGCCUACCAAGGCAACGAUCUGCAGUUGGUCUGAGAGGACGACCAGCCACACUGGGACUGGGACACGGCCCAGACUCCUACGGGAGGCAGCAGUGGGGAAUUUUGGACAAUGGGCGCAAGCCUGAUCUAGCAAUGCCGCGUGCAGGAAGAAGGCCUUCGGGUUGUAAACUGCUUUUGUCAGGGAAGAAAUCCUCUAGGUUAAUACCCUUGGGGGGAUGACGGUACCUGAAGAAUAAGCACCGGCUAACUACGUGCCAGCAGCCGCCGUAACAC
rnacentral:rRNA from 1 species